rnacentral:misc_RNA from 1 species
UCACGCCCAAGUUUAAAAGGUGGGCCAAGUCAAGCGCAGUUGAUUGAUUCUUAUUCCAAAGUCACCAUGUCGGAUUUGCAGCUCCGCCAACGCCAAAUUCUCAAUCUCUUCGAGCGGGUCGCUCAACCAUUCAGUCCUAAACCGGACAUUGUUUUUGAAUUGCCGGAAUUCGUCUUUUCACCUGAGGAUGUCGUUCCGCCAACCGGGUCAACUAGGCCAUCUCCCAGCCCACCUGCUGAUGUCUUGAAUAUCCCCGAAUUGGAGCUGGUUAAAACGGUUCCGCGUGGCAGGUUAUUUUCAUCUUUUCAUCCAGCGCACCGAGCAGCCGCCUACGCACUCGUUAGGAUCUUUAAGAAUGCUCCGACGGUGGCGGAUAUGCUGAAUUUAGCCGCCCAUCCAGACAUUCGUGAUCAAGUUAAUGAGCACAUUUUCGUGUUCGCCUUGUCAGCUGCCCUCAUUCAACGACAAGACUCUCGUUCCCUACGCACACCACCCAUCUGGGAAAUCUUUCCCGGGAAAUUUUUCGAAACGAGAGUCAGAAGUGAAGCGCAAACGACUGUCCAGCAGCAGCAACUCAAGCAGUCUUCCGUGACAAAACCCAUCAUUAUUGAUAAAAACUUUGCAGCAACAGACAGAGUUGUGGAGAAUAAGCUGUCAUACUUCCGGGAAGAUUUGGGUAUCAACAGUCAUCAUUGGCAUUGGCACUUGAUUUUUCCGGUGGAAGCGACGGCAGAUAUUGUCAAUCCGCCAGAUCGUCGUGGCGAGCUUUUUUAUUACAUGCACCAACAGAUUUUGGCUCGUUACGAUGCAGAGAGAAUAGCUAAUGGCUUGGCCAGAGUGACGUCAUAUCACGACUGGGAUCAGCCCAUUUUGGAAGCAUACUUUCCGAAACUGACGACUGCCAACGGUGCCAUUCACUGGGCAUCCCGACCGUCUGGGCUCGUUCUAAAGGACAUCAAUAUCCCCGACGAAGGGGUUGAACUCGGUAUCGAAUUUCACAUUGAUGAUCUACAACUAUGGCGCACCCGCAUCCUUCACGCUAUACACAAAGGCUCAGUGGUCAAGGGGAACGGCCAAGUCGUUCAUUUGGAUGAUAAAACGGGGACCAACACCUUAGGAGAACUUAUCGAGGCGUCACAAUGGUCUGCCGACAAGUUGUUUUACGGUGAUCUGCACAACUUUGGACACAUUGCAAUGUGUUACAUUCACGACCCAGACCGCAGCCACUCGGAAAAUAUGGGAGUUAUGGGCGAUUCGGUGACAGCCAUGCGAGACCCUUUGUUUUACCGAUGGCACAAGUUCAUUGACUCGCUUUUCCAGCAAUUCAAAGCCACUUUGAGUCCGUACAGCGCUCAGCAGUUGACCCUAGAAGGCAUCACGGUAAACAGCGUCGAAGUACACCGGAACCAGCCUCCCGCUCCAGGGUCAAUUCGCCAGAAAAACCUCAUUAUCACGGGCUGGCAAGAAAGUAUCGUCGAAUUAGAUCGAGGACUGGACUUUUCAAGUUCGACUCCGGUCCAAGCGCGGGUAACUCAUUUGCAGCACGAAGAUUUCUCCUAUCGAAUUCAAGUGACAAAUACGACCAAAACGAGUCAAGAUAUUGUGUUCCGCAUUUUCCUGGCUCCCAUUAAAGACCAUUCCGGGCGGCCUUUUUCGUUCAGGGAACAACGUCUUUUAAUGAUUGAGCUGGACAAAUUUGUUGCCAGGGUAACUCCCGGAGCUAAUGUAGUCAAGAGGAAAUCUGACGAUUCUUCAGUGACGAUCCCGUUCGAAAGAACUUUUAGGGACCUGGAAACAGCUGCUCCCGCAGUCCCUCUCGCUCCAGGAGGUGUCCCCACCAAUUUGCCGACCGACAAACGGACCAAUUUCUGUGGUUGCGGGUGGCCGGAUCAUUUUUUGGUGCCGCGGGGAGUGCCUAACCCAGGAAUGCCCUUCACGCUUUUCGUUAUGGCCACCAGCUGGAAAGAGGAUCGCGUUAAUGAGACUACUACUGCCACAGGCGACGACACUAAAAAGCUCUGCCGUAACGCAGCCUCUUAUUGCGGGAUAUUGGACGACAAGUAUCCGGACAAGAGGCCGAUGGGCUUUCCAUUUGAUCGCCCCCCUGAUAAAUCGAUAACCACAUUGGCCAAAUUCGUCGAAAAAUCGCCCAACAUCACGACGGCCGAAAUCCGAAUUCAGUUUGAAGAUCGAGUUAUACGCCGUUUUCCCCAAUAGCCUAUUAUUCGCAUGUCCACCAGUGUGCACUCUCCUACAUAAUAAUUAUUUCCGCAUUUUUUUUUCCUCGUUCGUAUAUUUCGCAGUAUAUAGCAAUAUAAUCUCUUAAGCAUUUGAUAGCACGAAAGCGAACAACAGAAUGGCUGAUUCUUGGAUUUCAUUUGUACCGCUGGAAGCGGAUGUUGUGGGACGUCCGUAAUUCCAUGGAAAAGAAUUUCAAGGUAAUAACAUUCUUCGCUUUGCUCGGAAAAGUCUUGAUCUUGUAAAGAUCAGAUUUCUUUUGCUAUUCAAUACGAGAGCUUAUAAGAUACAGUCGAGCAUUCUUUUCUUUAAGAACUGCCUCUUUUCUCAAGGCUAUGGAGUGUAUACCCACAUAACAAUCGGUGCUAAAUUGCUACACAUAAUACAUUCAUUUCAUUCCUUUUUUUUUCUCCUUCUUCCCGUUCCUUCCCGAUUCUCUUCAUUGCGCAGCGCUUUCCUUUUCCGGUAACUAGAAACGUAUACAAAUUAUAAAUACGGGAAUUACACGAGUCCGAAUCUCUCCAACGAGCAGCAGCCCCCUUGCUGUGUACGCAAUAAUAAAGGCUAUAAUCUCCAGAGAAUUAGAAAGAUAAAUAAUUUUUUUAAAAAGAUUUAAUCGUUUAUUAUUUAGAUUUGUCCCGUUUUUGGUCACGAUUACCGUAACGACAUCUAAGAAACGUUCAACGCACUUUUUUAGUAAAUAAUCGGUAGCCAUCUUGAAUUUGAAUAGCUCGAAAAUUUUCAGGUCGUUGACGUUGAGAGGAAAAAGUAAUUUGCCUAACUUGUUUUGUAUAAUUUUUAUUAUCCCGUGAGAAAUGUACGCGUUUGAAGUAUUAAUUUUGUUAUCUGUCAUGAGAUAUCAGUAUCUAUAAGGUCACAACGUCUACUCGUUUUAUCUUUUCAUUUGGCUGAUGGAUAGACCACGUCAAAUGAUGCGAGUUGGGUAAGAUUGCUCGUCAGCCAACACAGACCCGCUGGCGCAGUGCCCUCAUUUUUUAAGGAACUACAAACAGAACUCAUAUUGGCACAGUUUUGGGAGACUGACAUUUGAUGAUGCAGGUUAAUCAGCGAGGAUUGCCGGCCUACAUUUCCCUUUGGAACAACUACACACACAGAGGAAGUUGUGGCUUUAUCAAAUGUGGUCCACGAUAGAGUUUGCCUUAUCUCUCUCUUUGUUGAGAGGCCACAUCCAACCAUUUUUGUUGCACACACUUCAAGCCUGGUGUCGUGAAUAUUGAUUUCCAUCUAGGGGGAAAUCCAAAGAAAUAUCCUUACGAUUGCAUGAAAACAAUGUUGGGCUUAUUUGAUUUUCCCUGCAUGUGUUGACUGACUAAACAAUAACAGUGAUAAAGUAGUACGUCUGCCUAGAAUACCAAAUACACUCACCUUGUGAUGAAUGGAAUUAUAAAGAUAUAGUAACACCCAUUAAAAGUGUCAUAAAUUAACGUGGAAUGUAUAAAUACACGAUCAGAGAGUA